rnacentral:misc_RNA from 1 species
UUUCCGUAGGUGAACCUGCGGAAGGAUCACUAAAGAGAACUGCCUUCGGGCUAAUCUCCCACCCUUUGUUUACAUUACCUUUGUUGCUUUGGCAGGCCCGUCCUCGGACCGCUGGCUUCGGCUCGUAAGUGCCUGCCAGAAGACAUUCAAACUCUGUAAUCAAUGUCGUCUGAGUAAAAAUUUAAUAAGUUAAAACUUUCAACAACGGAUCUCUUGGUUCUGGCAUCGAUGAAGAACGCAGC